UGAGGAAUAUUGGACAAUGGGCGCAAGCCUGAUCCAGCCACGCCGCGUGCAGGAUGAAGGCCUUCGGGUUGUAAACUGCUUUUGUACGGAGCGAAAAGGUCUGCCCUAAUACGGUGGGCUCAUGACGGUACCGUAAGAAUAAGCACCGGCUAACUACGUGCCAGCAGCCGCGGUAAUACGUGGGGUGCGAGCGUUAAUCGGAAUUACUGGGCGUAAAGCGUGCGCAGGCGGUUAUAUAAGACAGAUGUGAAAUCCCCGGGCUCAACCUGGGACCUGCAUUUGUGACUGUAUAGCUAGAGUACGGUAGAGGGGGAUGGAAUUCCGCGUGUAGCAGUGAAAUGCGUAGAUAUGCGGAGGAACACCGAUGGCGAAGGCAAUCCCCUGGACCUGUACUGACGCUCAUGCACGAAAGCGUGGGGAGCAAACA
rnacentral:rRNA from 1 species